GCCAGGCAUGGUGGCACAUGCCUGUAGUCCCAGCUACUCGGGAGGCUGAGACAGGAGGAUCGCUUGAGUCUAGGAGUUCUGGGCUGUAGUGUGCUAUACUGAUUGGGUGUCCACACUAAGUUCAGCAUCAAUAUGGUGACCUCCCGGGAGAGGGGCGGGCACCAGAUUGCCUAAGGAGGGGUGAAACCAACUAUACACAACCACAAAGAGGGUCCCCCAGACUAUGACCAUGUUAGUUAUCUUCUCUCAAACUUACAGCCCCCCAGAACUGUGAGAAAUGAGCUUUUUGUUUUU
rnacentral:SRP_RNA from 1 species